rnacentral:misc_RNA from 1 species
GAGCAUCACGCCGGCGAGCACCGGCGGCACGUCCAGCUGUCCCACGGAGUCGGCGAGGAACUGGCCCACGCCCUGAAGGUCGAACACCGUCUCGGUGAGGAGGGCGCCGCCCCCGAUCACCUGCCCGAAGUCGAGCCCCCACAGCGUGGUGAUCGGGA